CAAUAGCGUAUAUUAAAGUUGUUGCGGUUAAAAAGACUCGUAGUUGGAUUUCUGCCGAGGACGACCGGUCCGCCCUCUGGGUGAGCAUCUGGGACGGCCUGGGCAUCCUCUUGGGGAACGUAGCUGCACUUGACUGUGUGGUGCGGUAUCCAGGACUUUUACUUUGAAGAAAUGAGAGUGUUUCAAGCAGGCAUGCGCCGUGAAUACGUUAGCAUGGGAUAAUAGCAUCGGACCUCGUUCCAAAGCUGUUGGUUUCUUGGACCGAGGUAAAGGUGAAUAGGGAUUGUUGGGGGCGAUUCGUAUUUGACUGUCAGAGGUGAAAUUCUUGGAUUUGUUGAAGACGGACUACUGCGAAAGCAUUUGCCAAGGAUGUUUUCAUUGAUCAAGAACGAAAGUUAGGGGAUCGAAGACGAUCAGAUACCGU
rnacentral:rRNA from 1 species